UACGGAGGGAGCUAGCGUUGUUCGGAAUUACUGGGCGUAAAGCGCGCGUAGGCGGCUUCGCAAGUCAGAGGUGAAAGCCCGGGGCUCAACCCCGGACCUGCAUCCGAUACUCCCGGGCUAGAGGCAGGUAGGGGAGAGUGGAAUUCCUGGUGUAGCGGUGAAAUGCGCAGAUAUCGGGAGGAACACCAGUAGCGAAGGCGGCUCGCUGGGCCGUUCCUGACGCUGAGACGCGAAAGCUAGGGGAGCGAACAGG
rnacentral:rRNA from 1 species